UACAGAGGGUGCAAGCGUUAAUCGGAAUUACUGGGCGUAAAGCGUGCGUAGUCGGUUAUUUAAGUCGGGUGUGAAAGCCCCGGGCUCAACCUGGGAAUUGCAUUCGAUACUGGAUAGCUAGAGUUCGGCAGAGGGAAGCGGAAUUUCCGGUGUAGCGGUGAAAUGCGUAGAUAUCGGAAGGAACAUCAGUGGCGAAAGCGGCUUCCUGGACCAGAACUGACGAUCAGGCACGAAAGCGAUGGG
rnacentral:rRNA from 1 species